rnacentral:rRNA from 1 species
GACGGAGGGUGCAAGCGUUGUUCGGAUUGACUGGGCGUAAAGGGCGUGUAGGCGGUCGGUCAAGUCGGGUGUGAAAGCCCGGGGCUCAACCCCGGAACUGCCCUCGAAACUAGGUAGCUAGAAUCUUGGAGAGGCGAGUGGAAUUCCGAGUGUAGAGGUGAAAUUCGUAGAUAUUCGGAAGAACACCAGUGGCGAAGGCGACUCGCUGGACAAGUAUUGACGCUGAGGUGCGAAAGCGUGGGGAGCAAACAGG